rnacentral:RNase_P_RNA from 1 species
GCAGUGUCCCGGUCUGUCGCCGGCAUCCAUAAGGGUGCGGGAGGAAAGUCCGGGCAGCACAGGGCGCUCCACUUCCGAAAAUAGAAGCUGUCGGUGACGGCAGGAUACGGCAGAAGAAAACAACCGCCGGCAAUUGCCUGAAAAGGCGUUGCGGUAAGGGUGAGAAGGUGCGUGUAAGAGACCACCGGCCGUCGGGUGAUCGGCGGGCCGUGCCGUCUGGAGGCUGCAAGUUCGCGUAAACCAUCGUCUGAGGGCUGCCCGCCCGAAUACUUCGGUUAUACGAUGGAGGGUAGAAUGCUUGAGCCGUGUGGUGACAUGCGGAUUAGAUAAAUGACAGACACCGCGGCCGUUGUGCGGUUGCGGGACAGAACCCGGCUUACAAGGACACUGUUUUC